UUCAUCUUUUUCAUUUAGAAGUUUCAAGAACACAAAACUUGAGCACAAAAGAGAGAGGGUUUCGGCUAGAGAGAGGAAGAGAGAGAAAAAAAAUUUAGCUCAUCAAUUCUUGGUCCAAAAAUCAUAAUCUUCUAGUAUUCCUAUUAAGUUGGAAACCCUCUUCAAUGUGAUACAAAUUUGGAAGCAAAAGAGUACUUUUUUUACAAAGUGGAAAUUCUUGAAAAAGAUAUUGGAGAGCCCGAGACUUGAGUCAGGAUUUUUUUGGCGAGUGAUCGAGAUUUGGUAGUGAGCGAUCGAGAAACAUGGGAUAUUUUUGCGUAUUGAUUUUGAAUAUAAUUUGGUCGUUUGAGAAGAAAAACCGCUAUAUGGCUUUGAUUUGAGUCUGCCACAAAUCUAGAGAAAUUGGGGAGAGGAUUUUUGGGAAGGAGAUUUGGAGAUGUUGAUAAAUCAGUUACCUUGUUUAAGGGAUUCCAAUUUAACUGUGUGUUUUAUUUUUUUUACUACAUUUGUGUAUGGUUUGUAAGUAUUCUAAUGUUAUAUUUUGUAAACUGAAAAGUAUCGUUGCGUUUUGUAAAUAUCUACUCUAAAUAUGUAUAUAUUUGUAUUUUAAGUUGA